rnacentral:rRNA from 1 species
GACGAACGCUGGCGGCGUGCCUAAUACAUGCAAGUCGAGCGGAAGUUGAAGAGCUUGCUCUUCAACUUUAGCGGCGGACGGGUGAGUAACACGUGGGCAACCUGCCCUGCAGAUCGGGAUAACUCCGGGAAACCGGGGCUAAUACCGAAUAGUUUUCGCCACCUCCUGGUGGCGUACGGAAAGACGGUUUCGGCUGUCACUGCAGGAUGGGCCCGCGGCGCAUUAGCUAGUUGGUGGGGUAACGGCCCACCAAGGCGACGAUGCGUAGCCGACCUGAGAGGGGGAUCGGCCACACUGGGACUGAGACACGGCCCAGACUCCUACGGGAGGCAGCAGUAGGGAAUCUUCCGCAAUGGACGAAAGUCUGACGGAGCAACGCCGCGUGAGUGACGAAGGUUUUCGGAUCGUAAAACUCUGUUGUGAGGGAAGAACAAGUACCAACUAACUACUGGUACCUUGACGGUACCUCACCAGAAAGCCACGGCUAACUACGUGCCAGCAGCCGCAGUAAGAC